GUCGAGCGCAGGAAUCAUCCGAACCCUUCGGGGGGACGUUGAUGGAAUGAGCGGCGGACGGGUGAGUAACACGUAAAGAACCUGCCCUCAGGUCUGGGAUAACCACGAGAAAUCGGGGCUAAUACCGGAUGGGUCAUCGGACCGCAUGGUCCGAGGAUGAAAGGCGCUUCGGCGUCGCCUGGGGAUGGCUUUGCGGUGCAUUAGCUAGUUGGUGGGGUAAUGGCCCACCAAGGCGACGAUGCAUAGCCGACCUGAGAGGGUGAUCGGCCACACUGGGACUGAGACACGGCCCAGACUCCUACGGGAGGCAGCAGUAGGGAAUCUUCCACAAUGGACGAAAGUCUGAUGGAGCAACGCCGCGUGAACGAUGAAGGCCUUCGGGUCGUAAAGUUCUGUUGUAAGGGAAGAACAAGUGCCGCAGGCAAUGGCGGCACCUUGACGGUACCUUGCGAGAAAGCCACGGCUAACUACGUGCCAGCAGCCGCGGUAAUACGUAGGUGGCAAGCGUUGUCCGGAAUUAUUGGGCGUAAAGCGCGCGCAGGCGGCCUCUUAAGUCUGAUGUGAAAGCCCCCGGCUCAACCGGGGAGGGCCAUUGGAAACUGGGAGGCUUGAGUAUAGGAGAGAAGAGUGGAAUUCCACGUGUAGCGGUGAAAUGCGUAGAGAUGUGGAGGAACACCAGUGGCGAAAGCGACUCUUUGGCCUAUAACUGACGCUGAGGCGCGAAAGCGUGGGG
rnacentral:rRNA from 1 species